rnacentral:antisense_RNA from 1 species
GCAUUUAGGUUUCGGGCGGGCGGACGGGGGACGGCCCGAGUGAGGCGUCCUCCGAAGGCUGCGGGCCCGAAGCCAGAACUCCUUCCUCUCCGAAGACCUCGGGGGUGGGGCUCGCGCUUCCGCAGCGGGCCUAGAGCGAGAGGCAGGCGGCAGGUCAAGAGACUGCUCUCCUCCCCAAGCUAGGGGAAUCUUCUGGGACUCCAUCAACUGACAAUGAGGGGAUAAUGGUCCCUCACUGCCCCAUCAGGAAAGGCUCGUGGGUGAUUGGGACCUUUGCUUGAAACCCAACUUACUGGCCAGGAACCUCAAGUUCUGGGACCAGGCGCCUUCCUCCCUCCCACUGUGCCAGGGGAGGGGAGACAAAAUCCCUCAAUGGCUGUCUAGCUCCAGGCAGAUCAGCUGCCACGGGGACUGCUGAGCAGGGAGAGGCUGUCGAUGCUGAGGCACGAGAGAAUUUGCUCCUGCUCCUCCAGAGAAAAUGGCUGGGACAGGCUGUUGAGGAAUAAUUCUGCAGGGAAAAGUGGAAGAUGGCUGUGAAAGACUGGGAGGAGGCUGGCUAUGUUUUCAGGGGUUCUUCCUGCACAGUCGGUAGAAGCUGAGCUGCUGGGGAAGGGGCUGGAAGAAAGCCCACACCGCAGGUAUCAGUAGCAAAUUCAAAAACUACAGAAUCAGCUCCAGAGGACUUUGUUAACAAGAAAGAGAAGAUUGAAAACAGCCCUGGGGCUACACCAACUCAAGAGCUCCCAGGCAAAGUGGCAUCCUGGACCCACCAUCUCUCCUACCCCAUCCUCAGUUGGUACUUCCCCAGGCACCGUUUGUUCUGGCAUGGGGCGAGUUCAGCCCUGGGACCACCCUCAUCCUUAUAACUACCAGCUGUCUUUGGUGAGGUGCAA